AACGAACGCUGGCGGCAUGCCUAACACAUGCAAGUCGAACGAGACCUCCGUGUCUAGUUGCGCACGGGUGCGUAACGCGUGGGAACCUGCCCUUAGGUUCGGAAUAAUUCCCUGAAAGGGGUGUUAAUACCGGAUAAUGUCUUCGGACCAAAGAUUUAUCGCCUUUGGAUGGGCCCGCGUUGGAUUCGCCAGUUGGUAGGGUAAAAGCCUACCAAGGCGACGAUCCAUAGCUGGUCUGAGAGGAUGAUCAGCCACACUGGGGCUAAGACACGGCCCAGACUCCUACGGAAGGGAGCGGUGGGGAAUAUUGGACGAUGGGCGAAAACCUGAUCCAGCAGUGCCGGGUAAGUGGUGAAGGCCUUAGGGUUGUGAAGCUCUUUUACCCGGGGUGAUAAUGACAGUACCGGGAGAAUAAGCACCGGCUAACUACGUG
rnacentral:rRNA from 1 species